rnacentral:rRNA from 1 species
UACGUAGGGGGCAAGCGUUGUCCGGAUUUAUUGGGCGUAAAGAGCGUGUAGGCGGCCAGGUAGGUCAGCUGUGAAAACUCGAGGCUCAACCUCGAGACGCCGGUUGAAACCAUCUGGCUAGAGUCCGGAAGAGGAGAGUGGAAUUCCUGGUGUAGCGGUGAAAUGCGCAGAUAUCAGGAAGAACACCCGUGGCUAAGGCGGCUCUCUAGUACGGUACUGACGCUGAGACGCGAAAGCGUGGGUAGCAAACAGG